rnacentral:tRNA from 14 species
CGGCGCUUCGCCGAGGCCACGCAAGCCGUCGCGGCCCUUCGCGCCGCGCUCGCGGGCGACGCGGGUGCGACACCCGUGGGCGUCGU